rnacentral:rRNA from 1 species
GAUGAACGCUGGCGGCGUGCUUAACACAUGCAAGUCGAACGAAGCACUUUAUUUGAUUUCCUUCGGGACUGAUUAUUUUGUGACUGAGUGGCGGACGGGUGAGUAACGCGUGGGUAACCUGCCUUGUACAGGGGGAUAACAGUUGGAAACGGCUGCUAAUACCGCAUAAGCGCCCAGCAUCGCAUGAUGCAGUGUGAAAAACUCCGGUGGUAUAAGAUGGACCCGCGUUGGAUUAGCUAGUUGGUGAGGUAACGGCCCACCAAGGCGACGAUCCAUAGCCGGCCUGAGAGGGUGACCGGCCACAUUGGGACUGAGACACGGCCCAAACUCCUACGGGAGGCAGCAGUGGGGAAUAUUGCACAAUGGGCGAAAGCCUGAUGCCGCGACGCCGCGUGAGCGAAGAAGUAUUUCGGUAUGUAAAGCUCUAUCAGCAGGGAAGAUAAUGACGGUACCUGACUAAGAAGCACCGGCUAAAUACGU